rfam:Alligator mississippiensis ScZkoYb_113.1, whole genome shotgun sequence.
GGGAGUAUAGCUCAGUGGUAGAGCAUUUGACUACAGAUCAAGUGGUCCCCAGUUCAAAUCUGGGUGCUCCCU